UUUACAGUGGACUUAUGAUCACUUCCUGUCCUCUGUGACAUACAUUCACUCGGUGUGGUUUUGUAUAUUUUUAGGGCUUUACAUGCACGUUAAGAUGCUCUUCUGACCAUCAGUUAUCAUAAACACUGAAGUCUGUCAGAGGCUGGAGCUACAAGGGCCUUGAAAUGAGUGAGAAGAUAAGUCUGACUCUUUUUUUUCCUUCUGUAUCAGGCUACCGAGUCAGUCCCCAGGCUCUCAAUGCAAUCAUAAAGCGCUACAACAAAGGGGGCAGGAUCUUCUUUGAUGACCUGCUGUGUCAAACUGCGAGCUCUCACAGACAACUUCAGACGGAGAGAUACCAUGCAGCAGGGGUCUGUCACCUUCCAGUAUGAUGACUUUAUCCUGUGCACAAUGGCCAUCUAAGUGCUGCCAUCUGCACUGCACCACCAGGUCAGCACGUUUAUGUGCCAGUCAGCGGCUGAUUCUGGAUCAGAACCUCACAGGAAUACAAAGGGAGGCCAGUAUAAGACUGAGCGGCUGCGAGUCGCGUCAGAAAAGUACUCAUUGCUUGUAACGCUUAGUGUAACGCUUUAGUCUUGUAUGUAACACAGGGAUGUGCUGAAGAUGUAUCCGGUGCACACAUAUAUACACACAGUAUGUAUCCAUAUUAGAGGGGAAUAUUUUACAUGUCACUGCCUAUAAAGCCUUUAUGAGGAGGAUGUCUGCCUGAAAUUCUGCCUGUGAUGUAACACAUGAUGACUUAACAAUUGCAAAAAUUGUGUAACUGCAUAGAAAUUGUCCACUUAAAGAGUUUAAAGAAGGGAGAAUCGAAGAAUGAGAUUUUUUAGCAAGACUUUAAUGGAAUGUGCACAGUUCUUCUGACCUGUGAGACACCUGUUGUGCCAUUUUAAUAUCUGAAUGUAUGUUCUAAUAUAGUAAAACAUAAACACACACAUAUAUAUUUAUAUAUGUGUGUAUGUGUUGAUUGACUGCAGUAUGAUGAUGCUAAUUUGCUUUAACUUAGCUUUAGGCAGUUAUGUAUGGAAUCACAGGAGUGCCAUAAUGAAAGAUAAACCUGUUAAAAAAUAAGGAAAUAAAUGUGUAAAUAUAAAGAGGAAUAAAUAAAUAAAAAACAAAUCUGUUUAAAGAAAAAUAAAUAAAUGUCUAAAUAUAAAGAGGAAUAAAUAAAAGAAAAAAUUAAAACUAAAUCUGUUACAGAAAGGAUAUAAAUGUGUAAAUAUAAAGGGGAAUAAAUAAAAAAAUAAAUGAGGAAAUAAAUGUCCAAAUAUAGACGAAUAAAUUAAAGAAAAAUUAAAAAAAAUAAAUCUGUUAAAAAAAGGAAAUAAAUGUGUAAAUAUAAAGAGGAAUAGAAAAAUAUGGAAAUAUAAGGGUAAAUUUUGUCUUUUCUUUUCCCUUUGUUUUUUUUUUUUGUUUUUUUCCCUAGACAGGAAGUCCCGCCCAAAGCCUUUUGAUUGACAGCUCAGUCCAUCAAGUAAAAGCAAAUGCAAAAAGGAAAAAGAAAUGACAAAAUGGAAAACCAGAAGAUUAAAAACAAAGGGAAAAGGGAAAAGCAAAGACAAAAAUUACCUUUGUAUUUCCAUAUUUUUAAAUUAUUUUUUCAUUUGUUCCUCUUUAUAUUUACAUUUAUUUCCUAUUUUUAACAGAUUUUUUUUAUUUAUACUUUAAUUUAUUCCUCUUUAUAGUUACACAUUUAUUUCCCUAUUUUUUUACAUAUUUAUUUUUUAAUUUCUUCUUUUAUUUAUGCUUCUUU
ensembl:lncRNA